rnacentral:rRNA from 1 species
UGGGGAAUUUUGCGCAAUGGGCUAACGCCUGACGCAGCAACGCCGCGUGGAGGAUGAAGGUCUUUGGAUUGUAAACUCCUGCCAGCAGGGAAAAAGCGACUUAGGUUAAUACCCUAGGGAGUUGAUUGUACCUGCAGAGGAAGCCCCGGCUAACUCCGUGCCCGCAGCCGCGGUAAUACGAAGGGGGCUAGCGUUGUUCGGAUUUACUGGGCGUAAAGCGCACGUAGGCGGAUUGUUAAGUCAGGGGUGAAAUCCCGGAGCUCAACUCCGGAACUGCCUUUGAUACUGGCAAUCUUGAGGCUGGAAGAGGUUAGUGGAAUUCCCAGUGUAGAGGUGAAAUUCGUAGAUAUUGGGAAGAACACCAGUGGCGAAGGCGGCUAACUGGUCCAGAUCUGACGCUGAGGUGCGAAAGCGUGGGGAGCAAA